rnacentral:rRNA from 1 species
AGCGAACGCUGGCGGCAGGCUUAACACAUGCAAGUCGAACGCAUCCUUCGGGAUGAGUGGCAGACGGGUGAGUAACACGUGGGAACGUACCUUUUAGUUCGGAAUAACUCAGGGAAACUUGGGCUAAUACCGGAUACGCCCUUUGGGGGAAAGAUUUAUCGCCAAAGGAUGGGCCCGCGUUGGAUUAGCUAGUUGGUAGGGUAAUGGCCUACCAAGGCAACGAUCCAUAGCUGGUCUGAGAGGAUGAUCAGCCACACUGGGACUGAGACACGGCCCAGACUCCUACGGGAGGCAGCAGUGGGGAAUAUUGGACAAUGGGCGCAAGCCUGAUCCAGCCAUGCCGCGUGAGUGAAGAAGGCCUUAGGGUUGUAAAGCUCUUUUGGCGGGGACGAUAAUGACGGUACCCGCAGAAUAAGCCCCGGCUAACUUCGUGCCAGCAGCCGCAGUAAUAC